rnacentral:rRNA from 1 species
ACGGAGGGUGCAAGCGUUGUUCGGAAUUAUUGGGCGUAAAGGGCGCGUAGGCGGCAAUGUAAGUCAGAUGUGAAAUACUCCGGCUCAGCCAGAGAACUGCAUCUGAAACUACAUAACUAGAGUACAGAAGAGGGAAACGGAAUUCCCGGUGUAGAGGUGAAAUUCGUGGAGAUCGGGAGGAACACCAGUGGCGAAGGCGGUUUCCUGGUCUGAUACUGACGCUGAGGCGCGAAAGUGUGGGGAGCAAACAG